rnacentral:rRNA from 1 species
UACGUAGGGGGCAAGCGUUGUCCGGAAUCAUUGGGCGUAAAGCGCGUGUAGGCGGCUCGAUAAGUCCGUUCUGAAAGUCCAGGGCUCAACCCUGGGAUGCGGAUGGAUACUGUCGAGCUCGAGUCCGGAAGAGGCGAGUGGAAUUCCUGGUGUAGCGGUGAAAUGCGCAGAUAUCAGGAGGAACACCAAUGGCGAAGGCAGCUCGCUGGGACGUAACUGACGCUGAGGCGCGAAAGCGUGGGGAGCAAACAGG